rnacentral:rRNA from 1 species
AGAUUAAGUUAUUAAGGGCGCACGGUGGAUGCCUUGGCACUAGAAGCCGAUGAAGGACGUUACUAACGACGAUAUGCUUUGGGGAGCUGUAAGUAAGCUUUGAUCCAGAGAUUUCCGAAUGGGGAAACCCAGCAUGAGUUAUGUCAUGUUAUCGAUAUGUGAAUACAUAGCAUAUCAGAAGGCACACCCGGAGAACUGAAACAUCUUAGUACCCGGAGGAAGAGAAAGAAAAUUCGAUUCCCUUAGUAGCGGCGAGCGAAACGGGAAGAGCCCAAACCAACAAGCUUGCUUGUUGGGGUUGUAGGACACUCUAUACGGAGUUACAAAGGACGACAUUAGACGAAUCAUCUGGAAAGAUGAAUCAAAGAAGGUAAUAAUCCUGUAGUCGAAAAUGUUGUCUCUCUUGAGUGGAUCCUGAGUACGACGGAGCACGUGAAAUUCCGUCGGAAUCUGGGAGGACCAUCUCCUAAGGCUAAAUACUCUCUAGUGACCGAUAGUGAACCAGUACCGUGAGGGAAAGGUGAAAAGCACCCCGGAAGGGGAGUGAAAUAGAACCUGAAACCGUGUGCUUACAAGUAGUCAGAGCCCGUUAAUGGGUGAUGGCGUGCCUUUUGUAGAAUGAACCGGCGAGUUACGAUUUGAUGCAAGGUUAAGCAGUAAAUGUGGAGCCGUAGCGAAAGCGAGUCUGAAUAGGGCGUUUAGUAUUUGGUCGUAGACCCGAAACCAGGUGAUCUACCCUUGGUCAGGUUGAAGUUCAGGUAACACUGAAUGGAGGACCGAACCGACUUACGUUGAAAAGUGAGCGGAUGAACUGAGGGUAGCGGAGAAAUUCCAAUCGAACCUGGAGAUAGCUGGUUCUCUCCGAAAUAGCUUUAGGGCUAGCCUCAAGUGAUGAUUAUUGGAGGUAGAGCACUGUUUGGACGAGGGGCCCCUCUCGGGUUACCGAAUUCAGACAAACUCCGAAUGCCAAUUAAUUUAACUUGGGAGUCAGAACAUGGGUGAUAAGGUCCGUGUUCGAAAGGGAAACAGCCCAGACCACCAGCUAAGGUCCCAAAAUAUAUGUUAAGUGGAAAAGGAUGUGGCGUUGCCCAGACAACUAGGAUGUUGGCUUAGAAGCAGCCAUCAUUUAAAGAGUGCGUAAUAGCUCACUAGUCGAGUGACACUGCGCCGAAAAUGUACCGGGGCUAAACAUAUUACCGAAGCUGUGGAUUGUCCUUUGGACAAUGGUAGGAGAGCGUUCUAAGGGCGUUGAAGCAUGAUCGUAAGAACAUGUGGAGCGCUUAGAAGUGAGAAUGCCGGUGUGAGUAGCGAAAGACGGGUGAGAAUCCCGUCCACCGAUUGACUAAGGUUUCCAGAGGAAGGCUCGUCCGCUCUGGGUUAGUCGGGUCCUAAGCUGAGGCCGACAGGCGUAGGCGAUGGAUAACAGGUUGAUAUUCCUGUACCACCUAUAAUCGUUUUAAUCGAUGGGGGGGACGCAGUAGGAUAGGCGAAGCGUGCGAUUGGAUUGCACGUCUAAGCAGUAAGGCUGAGUAUUAGGCAAAUCCGGUACUCGUUAAGGCUGAGCUGUGAUGGGGAGAAGACAUUGUGUCUUCGAGUCGUUGAUUUCACACUGCCGAGAAAAGCCUCUAGAUAGAAAAUAGGUGCCCGUACCGCAAACCGACACAGGUAGUCAAGAUGAGAAUUCUAAGGUGAGCGAGCGAACUCUCGUUAAGGAACUCGGCAAAAUGACCCCGUAACUUCGGGAGAAGGGGUGCUCUUUAGGGUUAACGCCCAGAAGAGCCGCAGUGAAUAGGCCCAAGCGACUGUUUAUCAAAAACACAGGUCUCUGCUAAACCGUAAGGUGAUGUAUAGGGGCUGACGCCUGCCCGGUGCUGGAAGGUUAAGAGGAGUGGUUAGCUUCUGCGAAGCUACGAAUCGAAGCCCCAGUAAACGGCGGCCGUAACUAUAACGGUCCUAAGGUAGCGAAAUUCCUUGUCGGGUAAGUUCCGACCCGCACGAAAGGCGUAACGAUUUGGGCACUGUCUCAACGAGAGACUCGGUGAAAUCAUAGUACCUGUGAAGAUGCAGGUUACCCGCGACAGGACGGAAAGACCCCGUGGAGCUUUACUGUAGCCUGAUAUUGAAAUUCGGCACAGCUUGUACAGGAUAGGUAGGAGCCUUUGAAACGUGAGCGCUAGCUUACGUGGAGGCGCUGGUGGGAUACUACCCUAGCUGUGUUGGCUUUCUAACCCGCACCACUUAUCGUGGUGGGAGACAGUGUCAGGCGGGCAGUUUGACUGGGGCGG